AUAAAAAAAAUCUAAAAAAUAAAUUUUUCCUUGUAAUUUAAUUACAUUAAGUAUUUAUUGUAGUGACAGGACUCUAACACAGUGAUGUAUGCAUAGCAAUUGUCCAACCAGUGCAUGCACAUGUCUUUAGGAGGGAGUUGCUAACAUAGUUAACACCACAAAAUUCUCAUCUAUGAAAAUAGCUAAAUCCUAAGGGAAACCAUGACAAAUUUAGUCAAUACAAUCUUUAAACAAUUAAUCAUUGAUAGAAAAUAGGAAUAAUUUAUUGAAUUAGGUGACUAUGAAUUGAUAUAUAUAUAUAUACAUAUAUAUAUACAUAUACAUAAAAACACACACAUAUAUAUGUAUGUAUGUAUAUAUAUAUGUGUGUGUAUGUAUAUUUACACACACACACACACACACACACACACACACACAAGUGAAAUUCCCUUAUUAGAAUUUGGUGAUUGGAAAUAGGGCUUAAAUACAUAAUUUAAUAACACUAGACUUUUUAGUGUAACAGAAUAUUUGGACUUAAACGGCCUAAAACAAUAAAAUAAUAAAUGUUUUACCUGAUAAAAAGUGGACUAUACCUCAGCUGCUUUAUAACAGCACAAAGGUUUAUGCUCUUACAAUCCUUCUAAAACCAUCUCUGUAAGAGUAAUGCUGUCACUCAGAGUAGUCCAAGUGAAUAAAGUACAUGUUAUCCUCUUCCUUACAGUUUAACUGAAAAGUUUGUUGUCAACUUUAGAGCUCAAUCCUCUCUACUCUGGACGUUUCCUUAUAGGUCUGUUGGCCAGAGUAGGUCACAUGCUUCAGUCUCCAGUUGUGAAGGACACAAAGCAACAAUCUUUCGUUCUAUAUGCCAGCUCCACAGGAAAAGAAACAACUAAAGGAUGACUGUGUUUGGUAUGUGUAUUUAAUGUUUCUAUUUAAUUGCUAUCUUGCUAUGGCCACUUACUGGAUGUAUAUUGACUAACAGGUCUUUGCUUAGUAAUUUUAAAUGAGAUGGAAUGCUGAAGCACUUUAGAGAAUCUGUAAGUACACAUUCAUUAGAUAAAAUAGCUGCAUUAUAGAAGAUAAGUAAAAAGUCCUUGUUAGCCAGAUUAUUUUAGUCAAAGACUUUCAAACAUGUCCGUAGACCAUAAUUUGAAGGAAGGAAAUUACUUAUAAAGACAAAUGUAUGAGCUACUGAACUUUUAAAUGUCUUUUCUUACUUUGUCUGUCAAUUAUGUUUCCCUGUAACCUAAAUUUUAUAUUCACAAGCUAGACUCCUGACUUAAAAACAUAUGAAAAUUCAGAAGGCUCUUGACUUCUAUUUCCAGCGAUAAAAGUUAAAUGGUGGAAAAGCUAUUGUUCAUAGGUUCUUCCAGAGAUAUCACUAGUUCUGUUGCUAUUUGAUUGUUUUGCUUUAGCUAAGCUUGGAAAACAGCAUAGUUAAUUUAUAGGUGGAAAAUGUGAGUAUGACAUGGUAGAUACCUGCUUGUUGCUUUUUCAUUGUUCACAACCUUCAAACCUCUCCUUUCCAUUUUGUGCAGUUAAAGCAGAAGAGAAUUAUGUAAUUCAGUGAGACAAUAAUAUACGCGUAACCUGUGAAUGAUCAGCGCUGCAUGCCAUGUGUGGAAUUGUCAUAGAUUUAGUGUAAGAUGAGGUUAGCUAUUCAAGGUGUCCUUUCAAAGAUCAUCAAUGGUUCCCCCAAACCACUGACACAAUUUCAAGUAUCAAAUGAGGAAUAUUUGAAAGAAGAAGGAAGCAUAUUUGAUGGCAAAUAAAUGCAGAAUAAUGUUGUUCCUUAGAGUAUGGAUGAAGUAAAACCUUAUUAUAGAAAAUUUAUGAGUCUAGAUAUUAUUUAUAGAGUAUAUGCUUAUGCUAAAUGAUGUGCUUUGGUGAAACAUGUCAUAGGUCUUCUCUCUGGGUCUAUAAUUUAGUUGUAUUAUCAACUUUUAAAAUAAUUUUGAUACAAUUCUGGACAGAAGCAACUUAAGGGGAGGAAAUAGUUACUAUGGCUUAUGAUUUCAGUUUAAUAUGUUGGGGAAAAUUCAUGGCAGAGUUUAUGGUGGCCAGAGCAUGUAGAAAGGCUUCACAAAUCUUGUUCUAUAAGAAAGCAGAAAACAGAGCUAGGUUUUAUCCUCAAAGAGUUAUCCUCUGUAAUUCUCUUCUGAGAAACAGUCUCUACAACCUUACAAAAUAGGGUUACCAGCUGGGAACAUGGCACUCUAGGGGACAUUUCUGACAUAAAAAUAACAUUGGAGCCUUUAUAUAAUUAAAGACAGACAUUAUAAAAGCAGGUACUGUAAAAUAGUGAACCAAAAUUAUUGAAAUCUUAUGUGUCAAGGCCAGGACUGAAAAUUGACCUUUAGAUUUAGCAGCAAAGUGGCCACUGGGACCAUACUAUAAACUAUUUUGUCAAGAUGGUAGAAGAGAAUGAACAUCAUUGGUUGUAGAGAAACCUAAAGGCUAGCAGUCAAAGUAAACAAUGCAUAACACAUUGGAAAUAUUUAUUGUGAAGAGCAGAGACUAGAAGAUUGAGGUAAUGACAUCGUUAUUCAUUUGUCUGUUUUACAAAUGCUGUGAAUAUUUAUCAUGUAAUCUCCUGAAAAAGCAAUUGUAAAAGUUUCAGUAAUAAUUUGGUAAUUUAUUUCAGUAAGAGUUGAUGGGCUCUUGGUAU
rnacentral:lncRNA from 1 species